rnacentral:rRNA from 1 species
AGAAUUUGAUCUUGGUUCAGAUUGAAUGCUGACAGCGUGGAUGAGGCAUGCAAGUCGAACGCUACUAUAGGGCAACCUGUAGUAGAGUGGCGGAAGGGUUAGUAAUACAUGAAUAACUUGCCUUUAACCUGGGGAUAACGGCUGGAAACGGCCGCUAAUACCGAAUGAGGUCACUGGAGGAUACUCCGGAGGAUCAAAGUAGGGGAUCGGGAAACCGACCUUGCGGUUAGAGAGAGGUUCAUGGGAUAUCAGCUAGUUGGUGUGGUAAUGGCGCACCAAGGCUAAGACGUCUAGGCGGAUUGAGAGAUUGACCGCCAACAUUGGGACUGAGAUACUGCCCAGACUCCUACGGGAGGCUGCAGUCGAGGAUCUUUCGCAAUGGGCGAAAGCCUGACGGAGCGACGCUGUGUGAGUGAUGAAGGCCUUCGGGUCGUAAAACUCUUUUGCCUGUGAACAAGAAAGAUACGUGAAUAACGUGACAAUUUGAGAGUAGCAGGAGAAAAAGCACCGGCUAACUACGUGCCAGCAGCUGCGGUAAUACGUAGGGUGCAAGCAUUAAUCGGAAUUAUUGGGCGUAAAGGGCGCGUAGGCGGAUUGAUAAGUCAGAUGUGAAAUACCAAAGCUCAACUUUGGUGCUGCAUUUGAAACUGUCUAUCUAGAGGAUUGACGGAGAAAGGGGAAUUCCACGAGUAGCGGUGAAAUGCGUAGAUACGUGGAGGAACACCGGUGGCGAAAGCGCCUUUCUAGUUUAGACCUGACGCUGAAGCGCGAGAGCAAGGGGAGCAAACAGGAUUAGAUACCCUGGUAGUCCUUGCCGUAAACGAUGUUUACUUGAUGUAGUUAGGCUCAACCCUGACUGUGUCGUAGCUAACGCGAUAAGUAAACCGCCUGAGGAGUACGCUCGCAAGGGUGAAACUCAAAAGAAUUGACGGGGGCCCGCACAAGCAGUGGAGCAUGUGGUUUAAUUCGAUACGACGCGAAGAACCUUACCUGGGCUCGAAAUGCAUAGGGCGAUACCAGAAAUGGUAUUUUCCGCAAGGACUUAUGUAUAGGUGCUGCAUGGCUGUCGUCAGCUCGUGCCGUGAGGUGUUGGGUUAAGUCCCGCAACGAGCGCAACCCUUAUCAUUAGUUGCCAACACAUAAGGUGGGGACUCUAAUGAGACUGCCUAGGUUAACUAGGAGGAAGGUGAGGAUGACGUCAAGUCCGCAUGGCCUUUAUGUCCAGGGCUACACACGUGCUACAAUGGUCGGUACAGAGGGCAGCAAGACCGUAAGGUGGAGCAAAUCCCAGAAAGCCGAUCUCAGUUCAGAUUGUGGUCUGCAACUCGACCACAUGAAGUUGGAAUUGCUAGUAAUGGCGAGUCAGCAACAUCGCCGUGAAUACGUUCCCGGGCCUUGUACACACCGCCCGUCACAUCAUGGGAGUUGGUUUCGCCCAAAGUGGCUGACUUAACCGCAAGGAAAGAGGUCACCAAGGUGAGGCCGAUGACUGGGAUGAAGUCGAAACAAGGUA